rnacentral:lncRNA from 1 species
CAUAAGAUAUUAAAAUAGGAACACAGCAAUUAUCCUUUUAGAAGAACGAAGGCUUUCAUCCUCCUAAGUCAUUUUAGAUGAUAGAAAUUUUGAAUCGAUAAUCAGAAUAUUAAAGUUGAUCUAGUGUAUUUAAAGUGUCUAAAAAUUAAAUUUCAUAAAUUUAAAAAAUUAUUUACGUAGUGGUCAAGGAAUCAUAAAAUUGAUAGUUUGACGGUCUAUAUAAGUUGUUUGUUUGUUUAACAAUAUAGAACAAUCCAAACAGUUUGAUUUUUUUAUAGAAAUUUUUUUAUACUAUUUAGGGCCCGUUUGGUUCGAGUUAUGUAAUAUUACAAAGUAUCUCGACAUAUCCAGGUAUCUUGGAUUUCGGCGUGAGAUUACUACUAAUGUUACAUUAGAGCGUUUGGUUUAAUACAGUAAUGUAAUACUAGAUUACAGUGUUUAUAGCAUUAAUAUGUUUGGUUCAGUUUAUAAAAUUUAGUAAUCCUGACAUAAAAGUAUAGUUUUUUCCAAAAUUGCCCUUGUUGUGGCCAUUUGAAUAUUAUUUUUUGCGGAAAUGACGAAUGGAGGGAAGGAGAUCGUGAUGAUUAUUUGGGAGGACGACGCAAUAGAAUAUGAUAGGUGUUCGUGUGAGAGAGAGAGAGAGAGAGAGAGACGUCCAGAGAGAGAGAGCGAGAGAAAGCGGCGUGCGAGAGAGAGGGCCGGGGGGAAGGCGAGAUAGAGAUGAAAAUAAUGCUGUUAAUUAGAUUUGGGGUUGUUGGAGGGUAAAAUUGUCAUUUUACAUAAUAUGUAGUAUUAACGGGUUUCAGUAAUGCAAGAUACACGACCCCCCUCCCGUUAAUAUUUUCGAUGUAAUCCUGCUCGAUUUGUAAUCUUACAUUAACAACUAGAUUACAUAGCGGAUUAACCAAACAUAGUUAUCCUGGCAGGAUUGCCUGUAAUCCUGCCAGGACAACUCGAACCAAACGCACCCUUAGAUAAACGUUCGAUAAUUCCGAUCAUAAACUAAAAAAGCUUAAAAUUUAUUUCCACAAAAUUAUUCAUUUUUGACCGAUCAUUUUUUACCUCUUCGAUAAACUUAGAUAACAAAAUUUUAAAAUUCAUAAAAUUUAAUUUUUAGACGUUAUAAAUAUUCUAAAUUAAUUUUAAUGAAUCGGAUCAUCGAUUUGAAAUUUUUAUUAUUUGUGGCCUCCUUAAAAAAAAAAAGUAUUAU